GCGCGCGGGCUCGUCGCCCGCCCGGACGCGAUGGUUCCCUCCGCCCGCACUGGCAGCCGCACCGGCAGCACGUGUGGCAGCGGGUUUUUACACAUCAGCACGGAAGCCUUAGCUGGCCGAGCCCCCGGAAGCCCCGUCAAGCUUACGGUAGCCCCGGGGGUCGGUUCCAAUUCGCCGCGACUUGCGCCGCAGAAAAGAAUGGCGUCUGGAAGCAGCUAGUCGACCCACGCGGCCGGCGACAUCGUCAAUCUGCGGGGAGCCCCCUCAACUUCCCUGGCUCCCGGACUACCAAGCCCCUCGAUGUGAAAGGAGGGGUGGCCAGGCCUAGCGGGCUACUGGGUAUGGUAAGAACGUUCGGGGGUCGAGCGCGGUAGCGCCAGGGGUAACCUGCAGCCUCCCUGUACCCCGCCACUCGCGGGGCUACGCGCGGAGGUCCACAGGCCAGACGGCGAUCGGUUGGUGGCUCUUCCGCGAGUCAUCUUCUAAGACAUGGUCGGUCCGCCGGGGAGACCCGGCGGUCACCAAUUUGCAGCGUUCCGUAGGUGAACCUGCGGAAGGAUCAUUACUAGAGCUCGGGCCCCCCUCGGGGUCCAAACUCCCCAACCCCUUGCUUACCGUUCAAGAGAGCGGUCGCGUCGGCAGGGGGCAUUCCCCCGCCGGUCGGCUCGCGCAACAAACUCGAAGCGACCCCGGCAGGCGCCGCCUACGGGGGUACGAAACGGAAAUCGAAACGCAAAAUGUCAAAACUUUCAACAACGGAUCUCUUGGUUCUGGCAUCGAUGAAGAACGCAGCGAAAUGCGAUAAGUAAUGUGAAUUGCAGAAUUCAGUGAAUCAUCGAAUCUUUGAACGCACCUUGCGCCCUCCGGUAUCCCGGUGGGCAUGCCUGUUCGAGCGUCAUUACAGUCCAUCGAGCCCCGCUCGGCCUUGGGUCGCCACCCCGCGCCUGCGCGGGGUGCAUCCGAAAGCAGUCGGCGGCGAGUCGUGGCCCCAGGCGUGGCGGAACAACACGUUGAACUUGAACAAUCGCCUGCAGGGUCCCACCGCGGCUCCGCCCUGGCCCCCAGAACAGACACGAGAAGACCUCGAGGAUUGACCUCGGAUCAGGUAGGAGUACCCGCUGAACUUAAGCAUAUCAAUAAGCGGAGGAAAAGAAACCAA
rnacentral:sRNA from 1 species